UAUGAAGAAAAAAGGACCGAGUCCCACCAAGUCUAGAUGGAAUUAGUCGGUCCGUAUCCACCACCAGCACCUAAUCAUUGCCUAAUCAUUGCCAUUCACCAGUAAUAUACCAAUUAUCAAAAUUAACUCAUCCUAAUCAUCAUCACACCACCGAUACAUCUACUACUACUCUCACACUAUCAUCAUAAUCAUAGCCGCUUAAAAUUUUCACACGCAUAUAUCUACAAAUCUACCACUUAAAACACUCUUAUAAUGACGGCCGAGGAAAAGAGCUUGAGCUUGUAUAUAAACAUCAAUUCCAGCAGGUGAGGAGCACGAAUUUCUCGCCAUUUUCGCCGACGAAUAGUUGAAGCUAUGGGUUGAAAGAGUUCCAUAAAUGGAUGAGUCUUUUUUUCAGAUGAAAUGUUUUGGUAGUGCUACUUCGUGAAUGCAUGUUCGUAUUGUAUUUCGCUGCUUUGAGCUUGAUUGUUGUGACUUUUGCUGUGAUUCUUGCUGAUUUUGUUGUUGUUGUUUUUGUUUCGGGUCAGUUUUGUGGUGGUUGUUGUUCGAGUGAUUUUUCUUUUCCGUAGGGUUUAUUGGAAUGGAGGAUGUGGAAAGGAGGAAGAGAGAGGAACAGAGGAGAGAGCAAAUAUGGGUCGCGAAUUCAUUGAACUCAAGCUCAUAAAUCUAUGCAAAUAUAUUAAAAGGCGUGCGAAAACAAGAAAAUGUGCUAGGUGGAGAAUAUCUCGUAGGGGACUUUUAAAUGAUUAAAAGUGGCCUACAUGCUAGUUUACACGAGAUUCAGUAUAGCAUUGACAUUACAGGUUCGCAGAUGUGCAUCAUUGAGAAUCUGGAGUGGAGAGAUUGUGUAACUAGCAUAGUUUAAUUUCUGCAUUUUUAAGAACAUAUUGUAUUUAAGUUCGUUUGAGUUGUUUAGGUUGGUUGGUUUAAGUUUUAAACACUUGUUAUUUAUUUAUUGAGUUAUAAUAAAGUUAAAUUUUAGUUAA